rnacentral:rRNA from 1 species
UAGUUAUGUUCUUUAAACCUAAAGAAUUUGGCGGUGUUUUAGUCUUUUCAGAGGAAUCUGUUUCUUAAUCGAUAGUCCUCGUUUUAUCUUACUUUAUUUAUUUAGUUUGUAUACCGCCGUUAUAAGUUUAUUUUUUUAGAAUUAUUUACUUAAAAUUUUAUUAUAUUUUAUUUCAGGUCAAGGUGCAGUUUAUGAUAAAGUGUAAUAUGGAUUACAUUAUUUAUGAAUAUAUGGAUUUAUAUUUUGUAAUUUUUUAAUGAAAGUGGAUUUGAUUGUAAUUUUUAUUAUAGUGUUUAUAUGAUGUUAGCUCUAAAAUGAGUACACAUCGCCCGUCGCUCUA